UUUCUAUACCUAAUAAAAUUAAAAACAACUAAAGGCUAUCGAAAAGCCAUCCCUCUCAAAAGGGACUUCACCCAGAACGACGACUCUGUAACAACCAUCGAAAGGCAACAUCAACCGCCGACUCUGCCACCAUCCCGCCGUCAACGUUCGCAGUAGAACCUUUGACUAUGUAACAGUUAUGGCCGUCAACAACCACCUCCUUCUACGGCCGUCAACAACAACUACCAUCCCGCCGUCAACAAAAUCGUUCCAGCUCUUUGACUAGUUCCAAGAUUUAAUUUUCUUUUUUCUUCACCCAUAAACUUUAUCUCCUCCACCUGAAACAACCACCUUCUUCUAUUAUUCCAAGCUCCACAUUUUCAAAUAGCCCCAAAAUUUUAGGGUUUUUUCUCGACUAAGCUCGACCACCUCCUUUUGCAAUUUCUCAAUAGUUGAGCCAUAAUGUGCAGAUUCCAUUAGUAAGGAAGAAAUUGCAACUAAUAGCCGUGGGAUAAAUCGCAGUAAGUUUUUUAAUCUCUUUUUAAUUUAAAUUUUAGAUAACCGCAUUCGAUAGUUGUGUUUUUGAAUGAAUUUUAGUAUUAAUGUUCGUUAUUAUCUGAUUCAACUGAUUUUUAUUUUGGGAGUAUUUGAGCGGCAUAGUAUGAUUGAAUGGAGAUUAAACACAGUGGUGCAUGUCUUCUUAUUGUGCUUGAAAUUAUGCUUUACGUAGGUACAAUUGAUAGGUUUUGAUUCUAUAUUUUGUUAGAUAUAUCACUAUUUGAUUUAGUUGUCUUUGUUAAAUUUUUUUUUCUUGUCCAACUUAACAGUUUUAAAGCUGUGAGUUUUUUCUACUUAAGCUUUUAAUCAAAGUUAGAGUUCUAUUAGGAUUUUGUUGUACUAUAAUUUCUUCCUUUUUGUUCUUGAUACAUAUGAUUUCGUAGCAUAUAUGUGACCUUACUUAGACAGUUUAAUAUCUUUUCAUUAUAUACUGAAUUCAAAAGGUGAGCAAAAACCUGAAUAUGCUUGCUUGUUACAAGUAGAUAUCCAUAUCCCUUAUUUUGCUACGCUAAUGAUUUUUCUCAUUGUUAGCAACCAUAAGCCAGAAACUAAAGGAUAUAGCUUCUCAUUGUUAGCAACCAUAAGCCAGAAACUCCAGGUUAUGUGUUUGUCGUUGUAACUUACCUUCAAUUGAUAUGUUACAAUGUUAUCCGAAUAAGUCGUGUUAACUGGAAAAUGGUAAGGGCUUUCAAUCGUGAAAUCUAUUUUUGAUAUAAUAUUGACUUGGAAUUUGCUAAGGAGCAGAUAUAUGUUGCUGCAACUUUCUUUUCUUUCAUAACACUCUGAGCUCAUAGCUGAUAUGAUUUCUUAUUGUCGAAGUCACCAUUACAAUUGUAUACACAAAGUGAUACAUAUCUCUACGUAGGUUAAACUGAUCAUAUGUUUUCUUCUCAAUGUGGAAAGUACUAACACUAUUUGAAAAUCAUAAGCUUCUUGAUUAGUUUUAGAUUCCAUCCGGAGCUAUUUUUGGGCUAAAUUUUGUAGGCGAAUUGUGGUUAUUUAUAUUACAUGAACUCACUUAUAGAUGAGUAUCUGAUAUAAGCACAUCUAAUUGCUAUCUAGUACAUCAAAGUAAAUAAAGAAUCCAUGUAAUCAGGUGGCUAUUUAGAUUUUCGCAUUAUACUUAAUUUGAGCCUAAUAUGGAUAAGAGUUAACUUUUCUUACCUUGAAUAUCAAUUUUGGUGAUUUGAAUAUGUUAUAUGGAUAAGAGCUUAAUUUCAAUGCUCGUUCACCUGGAGAAGCUUCCUUUGCACAACAAUCUACUGGGACUAACAAUCAAGCAGCCCUUCUCCUACGACGCAUCCUCUUGUUUAUUGAGUUGCUGCCACCAGUGCAAGGGUAGUGGAGUCUGCAACAUUUGCACAUGAAACUACCAUAAGUUGUACAUUAUUUCCUGCUGCGAGCGCGGAGAUGAACUCUGCUCCGUUUGGUUCUGUAGCUCUCUUUCCCUGAAUCAGAUCAACAUAACAUUAGUAACAACUUGAGGAGAAAAAAUUAUUUGAAUUGUAUAUCAGAUUGCAGAUAUGAUAAGUUCAUAAUUGUACUUACCAUGUUCAUGGUUUUGAGAAAAGCUUUAGUGGCAUUUUCAGCAGACCAACAACCCAUUUUCUGUUUCUUUGUAAUUUUCUCUUGAUAUUUUUUUUCCAAUUUUUGAAAGAAGCAGAGAGCUAGAGAUGUAUUUAAGCCUGCUUGGGUUAGUUUGGUAAGACAUCUACAUUUAUAUAUAGGGUGGGUAGAACCUAUGUCCAUGUGGAAUUUAAUUAGUAAAAAUUCUCAAGUUGGUAUUACAAAAUAAAAUAUACUGGAUAUUAAUAAGAAAGGACGGCUUUUUCUUUAAAUUCAUGGAAUUAAGAUUGCCAUAGGAGAAUUGCAUAAUGUCAAAAUGUCCUAUUUCUUGCUGAUACUGUCUUGUUUCUUCCUGUUUAAAAACUUAAUACUGUCCUGUCUCUUGCGGAGCUCCAACUUAACAACAGAAUUGCAGCAAUUAAAGUUGAAAUCUAGGUUGUUUCUGAUCGGUUUUCUGCAGUAAUUUUGGCAGCAAAUCUGUACGGGUGAGCUCUCAAGUUAGCUAUUUUUUGGUUUAAGUCAAAUCUGCACGGGUGGAUAUGGUAAUAUCCUUUUUUCUUCCUAUUGAUGUGCCUAUUUCAGUAUUAUUGGUAUCCAACUUCUCUGUGACCGACUGAGAGUCAAUGGUUGAGGUUGUAGUUGUGGUUGGGACUUGGUACUUAUGUGUCAAACUUGAUUGUCUUGUUUAGGGUUCCUGCGUUUUCGGGCAUUGUACAUUGCUAAGAAGUAGCUCUAAGGUUCAUUCUUGUAGCAAUUUUGGAUUAGUACUGCACUAUAUGUUUAGAAUUGGACAGUGAUAUAGAUAUGUGUC